AUGAUCUCGCCGAUGAUGAUUAUGAUGGUGAUGAUUUCUAGGAAAAUUACCUACCAUCUUUGAUCUAGUUAACUUUGAUUUGCAUUUUCUAUGGUAGGAUUAUCCUGCAAGCUAAAAACUGGGUUCUUUAACCUUGAAAACAAAAGCUUGUAGACUUUAUGAUUUUAAUUAUUGUUUGAUGUAAUAUGUUUUGUCGUGACGAACACAUAAACAUGUAAUGUAUGCAAGUUGUUGCUAUCAAUUUGGAUGUUUACGUCCAAACUUCCAUUUGGCAGAUUUGCGAUCCGAUUAUGAUGGUGAUGAUUUCUAGGAAAUUACAUACCAUCUUUGAUCUAGUUAACUUUGAUUUGCAUUUUCUAUGGUAGAAUUAUCCUGAAAGAUAAAAAUUGGGUUCUUUAAAGCUUGUAAACUUUAUGCUUUUAAUUGUUGUUCGAUGUAAUAUGUGAAGUGUCGAACACAUAACAUGUAAUGGACAAAAGUUGUUGCUAUCAAUUUGGAUGUGUAUGUCCAAACUUACAUUA
rnacentral:lncRNA from 1 species